AAUAGGCUUUUCCCAAGAUACAUUUUUCAUUGUUAGAUAGUCCAUUAAGAAAAGGCUACGGUAAGUAACUUUAGAUUCGUUGAGCACUGAACGGUAUCUUGAAAUAGAUUUAUUGUGUUGUCCUCCAUGUUGGUGAUAUGAUUGAGCAAAGAAACGACGAUGGAACACGGAAUAAGUCAAGAAUCUGGCUGGAUUCAACUCCAAGAUGCCUGGUACGUUAUGUUUACAAAACAACUUCAGACAUAAAACGACAUUGUACAAAACCAUGCAAAUUAUUAAUGGACGUGAAGAUGAGAAGAUGCUGUUGCUAUGGUUUAGAAGAGGAAACGCAUUUUCUCAGAGAAGAUGGCGGACGCGGUGUUCACACCCAACCGAAGUUCAACUGAAGUCUCAUAACAACAUUGUACGAAACAUGCAAAUAAUGGACGUGAAGAUGAAAAGAUGAAAGGAUGCUGUGUACACACCAAACCAAAGUUCAUCUCAAAUGAAACUGUACGGCCGUAUCAUCAUAUCUACAGAUGUGAGUGUGACAUAGAUGGAUAUCAGUCAGGAUGUACUAGGAAUUAAGGUGCAACAGAUUUCAAGUGUCAUCCUAUUCAGCUGACUAUGGGCAGGAAGUUUUUGAUAAUAAAAGUGACACUUCAUGCAAUAGAUGAUAAUGGUGCUAGUAUGGACGACAUUAAAUGCAAGAUUGAUCUUUAAUUGACAGUUGAAGUGCAUGUGAAGCCAACAUCAGCGAUGACAAACAAAGAAUUAACACAGCAUCUGAGUCAAGUAGUASGGGCUGGCAGGUAGUUAUUAGUGUUUAAGGUAGUUGGGGGCAUCAGGUUGACAGGUAGAUGUCUG